UGCCAGCAGCCGCGGUCAUACGUAGGGUCCAAGCGUUAUCCGGAAUUACUGGGCGUAAAGAGUUGCGUAGGUGGCAGAGUAAGUAGGUAGUGAAAGCGUGUGGCUCAACCAUACAUCCAUUACCUAAACUGCUCAGCUAGAAGAUGAGAGAGGUCGCUAGAAUUCCUAGUGUAGGAGUGAAAUCCGUAGAUAUUAGGAGGAAUACCGAUGGCGUAGGCAGGCGACUGGCUCAUUCUUGACACUAAGGCACGAAAGCGUGGGGAGCAAACGGGAUUAGAUACCCCGGUAGUCCACGCCGUAAACGAUGGAUGCUAGCUGUUACGAGUAUCGACCCUUGUAGUAGCGAAGCUAACGCGUUAAGCAUCCCGCCUGUGGAGUACGGCCGCAAGGCUAAAACAUAAAGGAAUUGACGGGGGCCCGCACAAGC
rnacentral:rRNA from 1 species